GAACAAGGGGGAGCGGACUGGGAGAGAAAUCAAGCUGAAUUGGAGCAGUGGUCGACUUUGACGCAGUGCGCAGCAGCAGCCAUCCAGAGAUAUCUAUCUACGUGUGAGAGUGGAGGCAGACAAAACUGCAGGAAUGUGGAGGGAUAAAAGGGAGACGAGAAGAAUGAGGAGAAGGAAUCCUGUCGCUGCUCAAAUUCCCGAGGGCAAUGAGGGCCGUCAGGCCCUGAGCUGAGCCGAACUGAGCUGCAAGAUUGAAAGGAGGAAGAAGAAGAAAAGCUCACGCCCCCAAAGGUAAGAAGUAGUAACUAGUGCUAUCCUCUCAUUCCUCUACUAAUGUGUGCAGCACCAGUCCUUCCCACAGUUCCCACACAGAGAGGAGAGAAAAAGAGAGAAGCAAACUAACUUCGCUCAGUUUCAGUUCAGCUCCUGCCUGCUUGCAGCUGCUUCUGCUCCUGUUUCUGCUACUGCUCGCCUGUUGGCUGCUGCUGCUGUUCCCAAAGGACGCGGACUAAGAAGCAGUAGAGCACUACUGCUGGUUAAGAGAGAGACCUUCCCAACACUUUAGUGUGAAGAGAGAGGCACACUGCCUGUGCUGCUGCUGCUGCUGCUGGGGACUGUGUCACUGCAAGAGUGAGUGUGUGUGUGUGUGUGUGUGUGAGAGAGAGAGUGUGUGGGAGCAAGCGAGUGAGUGAGCGAGUUAAACCCAGUGUGGAAGGAGCGACCAAGCGUGUAACUCUAGGAGCGUGUGAGUGAGAAAAGAGAGAGGACCUCAGGGAGGGCAAAUGAACAAGUGAGUGAGAGUGUGUGUGAGGAAGCAACCAAGGAGGACUAGGAGUCUCUCUUUCUCACUCUCACUCUCACCCCCCUCUCUCUCUCUCUCUCUCAGAGCUGGACAAGAAAAAGAAGAGCCACUUGGCUAGAGACUUUCUACUAGGUGCUAGUCCAGGCAGAGGGACAAAACAGCAUCCAUGCACACAGCAACAGGUAGAUUGAUAGAUAGGAUGGACACAAAAUGGGAGCAAGAAGCAGAAGAAGCAGCCCUGGAGCUAGCAACAGUGGUGUGCUCACUGGGGGAGGAGCAGCAGCAGGAUCCUGGUGAAAGAGCAAAGGGGGCCUAUAUAGUGUUUAGUGGGGUCUAGCAGCUGCUGCAGCUGCAACCAACAGGAGGGGAGGAGUAGGGGGCUCCAACAUUGCAAAUCUGCAGCUCAUCCUGAUCAUGGUGGGAUCAGGAAAUCCAUAAAUAUGGCUGAUUCAACUAAUAAAACCUGGGGAUUAGAGUGGGCUGGUACGCUAUACGGCUGGGAGAGAGGGAGAGAGCAGCUGAUUCUCCUCUAAUUGCCUGCCUUGCUUUAUCUUAUUUUCUUUUGUUUUGGGGAGUUGGGGAGAUUUUUCUGUCCAAGUGCUGGUUGACAACACUGGCUCCCUUAUUUUAUUCCAAUCCGGACGCCAACCCGCGCCUCCAAUCCGCCUUAAUCCCGCGGCCAAGAACACGUUACAAAUGCACAAAGUUUGUGUACCUCCUCUCCUACGCCUAGUGUGUCCAAUGGAGACGGGAAGGGGGCGUGUGUCAGGUUUGGCUGGCUCCCGCUGCCAAAUUGGGCUUAGAAGCCUCCCCACAUUUAGAGACCAAAAGCUUGGAGCUUGGACCAAACCGUAGAGUGAGAAAGAACAGCUGCAGGCCUCAAGUAUAACUUGAUCAGAGAGAGAUCAGAGCAGGAAUUGAAUGACGCUUGUUUUG